CAUGCCCCUUAUACGCUGGGCUACACACGUGCUACAAUGGGUAGAACAGAGAGUCGCAAAGCUGUGAAGUGGAGCUAAUCUCAGAAAACUAUUCUUAGUUCGGAUUGUACUCUGCAACUCGAGUACAUGAAGUUGGAAUCGCUAGUAAUCGCGAAUCAGCAAUGUCGCGGUGAAUACGUUCUCGGGUCUUGUACACACCGCCCGUCACACCACGAGAGUUGGUUGCACCUGAAGUAGCAGGCCUAACCGUAAGGAGGGAUGCUCCGAGGGUGUGAUUAGCGAUUGGGGUGAAGUCGUAACAAGGUAUCCGUACGGGAACGUGCGGAUGGAUCACCUCCUUUCUAAGGAGUAUAAGUCUUUCUCUAUUCUAUUGGUAAUGUUCUUUACAUUACUUCUGAACAUUGGAAACUAUAUAGUAGAACAAACAAGAAAAAAAUUAACUCUAACAAUUUCUUAGAGUUAGCUGUCAAAAAAUAGGUUAAAAUAAUUAAGGGCACACAAAGGAUGCCUAGGUAGUAAGAGCCGAUGAAGGACGUGGUAAGCUGCGUAAGCCUAG
rnacentral:sRNA from 1 species